CUGGGACUGAGAUACGGCCCAGACUCCUACGAGAGGCAGCAGCUAAGAAUCUUCCGCAAUGGACGAAAGUCUGACGGAGCGACGCCGCGUGGGUGAAGAAGGCCGUGAGGUUGUAAAGCCCUUUUCUACCUGAGGAAUAAGCCUGAGAGGGAAUGCUCGGGUGAUGACGGUAGGGUAGGAAUAAGCCCCGGCUAAUUACGUGCCAGCAGCCGCGGUAACACGUAUGGGGCGGGCGUUGUUCGGAAUUAUUGGGCGUAAAGGGCGUGUAGGCGGAUAUGCAAGUCUGGUGUGAAAGACCGCAGCUCAACUGCGGGCACGCGCUGGAAACUGCAUAUCUUGAAUCCUUGAGGGGGAACUGGAAUUCCUGGUGUAGGGGUGAAAUCUGUAGAUAUCAGGAAGAACAUCAGUGGCGAAGGCGAGUUCCUGGCAAGUGAUUGACGCUGAGGCGCGAAAGCGUGGGUAGCAAACAGGAUUAGAUACCCUGGUAGUCCACGCUGUAAACGAUGUGCACUAGGCGUUGGGGUGUUGAAACCUCAGUGCCGGAGCUAACGUGGUAAGUGCACCGCCUGGGGAGUAUGCCGGCAACGGUGAAACUCAAAGGAAUUGACGGGGGCCCGCACAAGCGGUGGAGCAUGUGGUUUAAUUCGAUGAUACGCGAGGAACCUUACCAGGGCUUGACAUAUACCGGGAGUCGUGUGAGAGCACGGCGCC
rnacentral:rRNA from 1 species